CGCAGCGCGGCGGCGGGGCGGCCGCGGCGCCGCGCGGGGGGAGCCGCGCAGCAGCCCCUGCCCCGAGCGAAGCACGGCGUAGGAUGUCCUCCAAGAUUAAAGCUAGUCCUAAGAGCAACCGAAUUGCUGUGACUGACUUUCACGGGACUGUAAAGAGAGGUGCAUGUUGGAGCAGCCAUAAGGGUGAAGUUCAACAGUGACCUUUCUUUAGAAGAUGUCAUGAUUGCAGAAGG
rnacentral:lncRNA from 1 species